AACCACACUAUCAAUGAAUGGAUUCACCCGCGAGAUGACGUGGUUGUUUCACCUAGGACGAGAACAUGGCAUCCUGUUACUAGCCAUCGCACGAAAUUAAUAGGAUGCUAAGUCCUCAUUCUAGAUGGAACAACCACAUCAUCUCAUGGGUGAAUCCAUUUAUCGAUAGUGUGGUU
rfam:Oryza meridionalis cultivar OR44 (W2112) chromosome 5, whole genome shotgun sequence.